rnacentral:rRNA from 1 species
AUACGGAGGGGACUAGCGUUGUUCGGAAUUACUGGGCGUAAAGAGUUCGUAGGCGGACUGAUAAGUAAGAGGUGAAAUCCCAGGGCUCAACCCUGGAACUGCCUUCUAAACUGUCAGUCUAGAGACCGGAAGAGGUUAGGGGAAUACCUAGUGUAGAGGUGAAAUUCGUAGAUAUUAGGUGGAACACCAGUGGCGAAGGCGCCUAACUGGUCCGGUACUGACGCUGAGGAACGAAAGCGUGGGGAGCAAACAGGAUUAGAAACCCUAGUAGUCC